UACCAACUGUCAAAGACUUUUCAAAUAUAGAAUGUGCGGUUUUAAAGAAAUUUUUAGGAAAUUUUCUAUGUUGAAUUAAAUAGUUUAAAUGCCAUUUUUGUACACUGAUUUUAUAUUUUCCAAUCAAAAUACUUUAUGUAAGAAAUAAUCAAAUUAGUUUUAUGUUUUAAAUCCGGUGGCUGUAUGAUAUACAAAUUCUUUGUUCCAAAUGAGAUAAACUUUUCGCAACACUUGACAGAUUAUGGCACCAUGUAAACGAAAACGGAGCAGAUCGUGCAGGACCACGCGGUGUCGAACGAAACGCGGGCGAUUUAAGCGUUGUCGGCCAUGCGAUCGACGGUAUAGUGUGAGAAAGCCUUGUUGUAAGCCUAAACGCAAACGCCGCUGUCCACGUAGAAGAAAGUCUUCUUGCGGACGGAAAUCACGCUACAUGUACCGUUGCCGAUCACGUUCAGGAGCAUUCAAGCGUUGCCGCAAGUGCGAUCGUCGGUACCGCGUCAGACGUAGAUCCUCAUCACGAUAAACUAAACAUACAAUAUUGGUGGCUGGUAUUGUCUUGUUGGUGAUUUGCUCUCCAUUCCAAGUGUUCGAGAAAUUGUGCUAGUGACUCCCAUAUGUUUAUAAAAUACUCAAAUUAAGAGAAAUUUAUUUAAA
rnacentral:lncRNA from 1 species